rnacentral:rRNA from 1 species
ACGAACGCUGGCGGCAUGCCUAACACAUGCAAGUCGAACGAGACCUUCGGGUCUAGUGGCGCACGGGUGCGUAACGCGUGGGAACCUGCCCUUAGGUUCGGAAUAACUCCCCGAAAGGGGUGCUAAUACCGGAUAAUGUCUUCGGACCAAAGAUUUAUCGCCUUUGGAUGGGCCCGCGUUGGAUUAGCUAGUUGGUAGGGUAAAAGCUUACCAAGGCGACGAUCCAUAGCUGGUCUGAGAGGAUGAUCAGCCACACUGGGACUGAGACACGGCCCAGACUCCUACGGGAGGCAGCAGUGGGGAAUAUUGGACAAUGGGCGAAAGCCUGAUCCAGCAAUGCCGCGUGAGUGAUGAAGGCCUUAGGGUUGUAAAGCUCUUUUACCCGGGAUGAUAAUGACAGUACCGGGAGAAUAAGCUCCGGCUAACUCCGUG